GAUGAACGCUGGCGGCGUGCCUAAUACAUGCAAGUCGAGCGAACAGAUGAGGAGCUUGCUCCUCUGACGUUAGCGGCGGACGGGUGAGUAACACGUGGAUAACCUACCUAUAAGACUGGGAUAACUUCGGGAAACCGGAGCUAAUACCGGAUAAUAUAUUGAACCGCAUGGUUCAAUAGUGAAAGACGGUUUUGCUGUCACUUAUAGAUGGAUCCGCGCCGCAUUAGCUAGUUGGUAAGGUAACGGCUUACCAAGGCAACGAUGCGUAGCCGACCUGAGAGGGUGAUCGGACACACUGGAACUGAGACACGGCCCCGACUCCUACGGGAGGCAGCAGUAGGGAAUCUUCCGCAAUGGGCGAAAGCCUGACGGAGCAACGCCGCGUGAGUGAUGAAGGUCUUCGGAUCGUAAAACUCUGUUAUUAGGGAAGAACAAAUGUGUAAGUAACUAUGCACGUCUUGACGGUACCUAAUCAGAAAGCCACGGCUAACUACGUG
rnacentral:rRNA from 1 species